rnacentral:rRNA from 1 species
GAUGAACGCUGGCGGCGUGCCUAAUACAUGCAAGUCGAGCGAACGGACGAGAAGCUUGCUUCUCUGAUGUUAGCGGCGGACGGGUGAGUAACACGUGGAUAACCUACCUAUAAGACUGGGAUAACUUCGGGAAACCGGAGCUAAUACCGGAUAAUAUUUUGAACCGCAUGGUUCAAAAGUGAAAGACGGUCUUGCUGUCACUUAUAGAUGGAUCCGCGCUGCAUUAGCUAGUUGGUAAGGUAACGGCUUACCAAGGCAACGAUGCAUAGCCGACCUGAGAGGGUGAUCGGCCACACUGGAACGGAGACAGGGUCCAGACUCCUACGGGAGGCAGCAGUAGGGAAUCUUCCGCAAUGGGCGAAAGCCUGACGGAGCAACGCCGCGUGAGUGAUGAAGGUCUUCGGAUCGUAAAACUCUGUUAUUAGGGAAGAACAUAUGUGUAAGUAACUGUGCACAUCUUGACGGUACCUAAUCAGAAAGCCACGGCUAACUACGUG